CUGCCAAUCUAUUGCUGCUAAUCUAUCGCUGCUAAUCUAUCGCUGCUAAUCUAUCGCUGCUAAUCUAUCGCUGCCAACCUAUCUACCGCGGCGAAUCUAUCUAUCACUAUCAUUACUAGUUCAAAAUAGAACUAGAGCAUAAAUACACUAAACUUCUUUUGAUAGGUAAUGAUUUUUGGUAAUGCUCAUAGCAUUAUAUCAUCUAUAUAGGGUAAAUCAUGGUCCCAUUUGGUCCCAUUUUGUUAAAAUGGGACCAAAUGGGACCAGAAUCAGUAAUUUAUAAGAAGAACAUGACCUGGGACUAGAUUUAUAAUAUAAACAGUGUAAAGUGACUAAUUUAAUAAACACUAUAUGGGACCAGGACUAAGAAAUUUGAUAAUGGGAC
rnacentral:sRNA from 1 species